ACUCCUACGGGAGGCAGCAGUGGGGAAUAUUGCACAAUGGGGGAAGCCCUGAUGCAGCCAUGCCGCGUGUGUGAAGAAGGCCUUCGGGUUGUAAAGCACUUUCAGUUGUGAGGAAGGUGGUGUCGUUAAUAGCGGCAUCAUUUGACGUUAGCAACAGAAGAAGCACCGGCUAACUCCGUGCCAGCAGCCGCGGUAAUACGGAGGGUGCGAGCGUUAAUCGGAAUUACUGGGCGUAAAGCGCAUGCAGGUGGUUUGUUAAGUCAGAUGUGAAAGCCCGGGGCUCAACCUCGGAACUGCAUUUGAAACUGGCAGACUAGAGUACUGUAGAGGGGGGUAGAAUUUCAGGUGUAGCGGUGAAAUGCGUAGAGAUCUGAAGGAAUACCGGUGGCGAAGGCGGCCCCCUGGACAGAUACUGACACUCAGAUGCGAAAGCGUGGGGAGCAAACAGGAUUAGAUACCCUGGUAGCACAGAG
rnacentral:rRNA from 1 species